GGAUCAUUACUGAGUUUACGCUCACUACCCUUUGUGAACUAUUAUACCUGUUGCUUCGGCGGCGCGCUGCCUUCGGGGGGCGUGCCCGCCGGUGUUCAGCAUCUCUUGUUUCAUGUCAGUUAUCUCAGAGUGUUCCAAAGCGAACUGUUAAAACUUUCAACAACGGAUCUCUUGGCUCUAGCAUCGAUGAAGAACGCAGCGAAACGCGAUAAGUAAUGUGAAUUGCAGAAUUCAGUGAAUCAUCGAAUCUUUGAACGCACAUGGCGCCUCUCAGUAUCCUGGGAGGCAUGCCUGUCCGAGCGUCGUUUCAACCCUCGGUGCCCCUCUGGCGGCCCGGUGUUGGGGUUCCACGCCUGGCGUGGUCCCUGAAAAUCAGCGGCGGACCCGCUGUGGCCCUUCCCUUGCGUAGUAGCAAUAGCCUCGCAUCGGGAGCCCACGGGCGCCUGCCGUCAAAACCCCCUACAAGCCCGCCCCCGCGCGGCACAUGGUUGACCUCGGAUCAGGUAGGAAUACCCGCUGAACUUAAGCAUAUCAAUAAGCGGAGGAAAAGAAACCAACAGGGAUUGCCCCAGUAACGGCGAGUGAAGCGGCAACAGCUCAAAUUUGAAAUCUGGCUCCUUCGGGGUCCGAGUUGUAAUUUGCAGAGGAUGCCUCGGGUUUAGGUGCCUUCCGAGUUCCCUGGAACGGGACGCCAUAGAGGGUGAGAGCCCCGUCUGGUUGGAUACCUAGCCCGUGUGAGGCUCCCUCGACGAGUCGAGUAGUUUGGGAAUGCUGCUCUAAUGGGAGGUAUACUCCUUCCAAGGCUAAAUACCGGCUAGAGACCGAUAGCGCACAAGUAGAGUGAUCGAAAGAUGAAAAGCACUUUGAAAAGAGAGUCAAACAGCACGUGAAAUUGUUGAAAGGGAAGCGUUUGCUACCAGACUUGGGCCCGGCGGCUCAACCAGCGCCACGCGCUGGGGCACUCCGCCGGCCCAGGCCAGCAUCAGCUCUCCGUCGGGGGCAAAGGCGUCGGGAAUGUGGCUCUCCUUCGGGGGAGUGUUAUAGCCCGUCGCGUCAUACCCUUCGGGGGGCUGAGGUACGCG
rnacentral:rRNA from 1 species